rnacentral:lncRNA from 1 species
GCCAUACACUCUUAACAUUCUGUGACAAGUAUAAAGCAUUUUGUAGCUAAACUACAUUGAUGGUCCGUAACGGCAGCUGCUCGAAGUUAGGGCAAUUUGUGCAUUAAAAUUGAAGCAUGAAUUAGAUACUUACCUGUCGAUUUGCAGAACUUACCUACAAUUGCGAUUUGAAGUUUGCGUAUUGUAUCAAAAAUUAAAGUAAACCAUGUAGUAAAUAUGCUCGUUAGUUUUGAGCGUAUACAAAAAAAUACCUUAAUAUGCUUUGUCACCUUUGCUCCGUGUUUUGUUUACAUUAUCAUAUCAUUGACACGAACUUCCACACGUACUCAAAUAUACGUCUCAAAUGAAUAAACGGCCGCCAUCUGAUCAACGUCUUCCUCGAAUAAGCGCCAUAGGUUACGCAUCGUUUUUGUUGCAUGCCAUAUAU